rnacentral:rRNA from 1 species
UACGUAGGGUGCAAGCGUUGUUCGGAAUCAUUGGGCGUAAAGCGCGUGUAGGUUGUUAGUUAAGUCAGAUGUGAAAGCCCUCGGCUCAACCGGGGAAGUGCAUUUGAAACUAGCUGACUAGAAGACGGUAGAGGAAGGUGGAAUUCCAAGUGUAGAGGUGAAAUUCGUAGAUAUUUGGAGGAAUACCUGUGGCGAAGGCGGCCUUCUGGACCGAUCUUGACGCUGAGACGCGAAAGCGUGGGUAGCAAAC